GAUGACAAAGGGAAGGUCAUAGUUUGGGAAGCAUCACAGUAAGACGCAUACACUGUGUUGCCACUGUGGCUGUGAGGCCCACCACCUUCAGGAGUUGGGCUGUGGCAAAUGUGGCUUACCCUGCUAGGCAUAAGAAAACAUCCAGUCGUGUUUCUUCUUUUAGCCUUGGCACUAACAAAGACAAACCACCACUGAGACUGGUUGAAUGAGGCACCUAAAAAUUGUAUACCGUGGAUUCAAGGCAUGGAUUUCAUGAAAGAAAAAUGUGUGCACCCAAGAGGGUAGCUGCUGCAGCUUCCAGUUCAUUGUAA
rnacentral:lncRNA from 1 species